rnacentral:rRNA from 1 species
AUUGAACGCUAGCGGGAUGCUUUACACAUGCAAGUCGAACGGCAGCGCGGACUUCGGUCUGGCGGCGAGUGGCGAACGGGUGAGUAAUGUAUCGGAACGUGCCCAGUAGCGGGGGAUAACUACGCGAAAGCGUAGCUAAUACCGCAUACGCCCUACGGGGGAAAGCAGGGGAUCGUAAGACCUUGCACUAUUGGAGCGGCCGAUAUCGGAUUAGCUAGUUGGUGAGGUAACGGCUCACCAAGGCGACGAUCCGUAGCUGGUUUGAGAGGACGACCAGCCACACUGGGACUGAGACACGGCCCAGACUCCUACGGGAGGCAGCAGUGGGGAAUUUUGGACAAUGGGGGCAACCCUGAUCCAGCCAUCCCGCGUGUGCGAUGAAGGCCUUCGGGUUGUAAAGCACUUUUGGCAGGAAAGAAACGUCGCGGGCUAAUACCCCGUGGAACUGGCGGUACCUGCAGAAUAAGCACCGGCUAACUACGUG